GACUUUUACUAAACCUCACGAGGCUUGAGGGACAUUUCAUUACUAAUCGACCGUAAUGCCAUGCUAUUACUUUGUAAUAUCAUAGUUGCCGAGGGAAUCCGCGCGUGGUGUGUUGCCUGUUUUGAAUGCUGUUUGAUUGUCUUAUGAUUGUGGUAUGAACACUUUUCAUAUAUACGCACACGCAGAAACACAUCUCCGUUUUCAUUCGUUUUAGGCAUGCGCAUAAACGGAAUUUUCU